UACGUAGGCAGCGAGCGUUGUUCGGAGUUACUGGGCGUAAAGGGUGUGUAGGCGGUUUUCUAAGUUUGGUGUGAAAUCUCCCGGCUUAACCGGGAGGGUGCGCCGAAAACUGGGAGACUAGAGUGCGGGAUGGGAGAGUGGAAUUCCUGGUGUAGCGGUGAAAUGCGCAGAUAUCAGGAAGAACACCCGUGGCUAAGGCGGCUCUCUAGUACGGUACUGACGCUGAGACGCGAAAGCGUGGGGAGCGAACAGG
rnacentral:rRNA from 1 species